ACCCAGGUGCCCCUUUACUUCUUUUCAACGCCUUUAAGCUCAUUUUGAUGUUUCAACCUAAAGGAGACGAGAAUGUGUUUGGAAAUGUAAAGGGUGGUUUUCACCUCCAAGAAACCACACUACCUGGAUGACGCUCUCACCUGCUCCUGCCAUGGCUGUAGUGGGUGAGAGGGGCCACCUGUCACCCCAGAGUCCACCCAACCCCGAUGUCAUCCCACCCCCAGCUGUGUCCACGGGCAUCGAGGUCAGGCAGAGAUGCACACACAAGUCAUAGAUUCUGUGCCUGCAGGGCUCGUGGAGCACCCCAGCCCCAGGACGGUCUGUCCUGCCAGACAGCUCUUCAUGGGGAGGCUAAAUGGAAAGAUGAGCUAACAGUGGUAUUGGAGACAAUUCUGCCUUCCUUCCAGCCCCGUCGACACUGAUGUGUUCCCUUGGCUGCCCGCUCAUCUACAGCGGAAGAAAAACCAUACACAGGAGUCUGCUUGAAGAGGGUGAGAUAAACAGGACAAUGUGGGUUU